rnacentral:piRNA from 1 species
UGCACAAGACUCUCACUUUUCCCUU